AGCCUUCAGCAAACCUAAAACAAGUAUGUGAAGGUGAUGCCUGCCCGGUGACUCACGUUCAACGGCCGCGGUAUCCUAACCGUGCAAAGGUAGCGCAAUCAAUUGUCCCAUAAAUCGAGACUAGUAUGAAUGGCUAAACGAGGUCUUAACUGUCUCUUACAGGCAAUCGGUGAAAUUGAUCUCCCUGUACAAAAGCAGGGAUAAACCCAUAAGACGAGAAGACCCUGUGGAACUUCAAAACCAGCAACCACCUUAGAUUACAUAUUCACCCACCGGGUUCACUAACACAUAAGUUCUUUGGUCUGCGUUUUUCGGUUGGGGCGACCUUGGAGCAAAACAAAACCUCCAAAAACUAGACCAUACCUCUAGACUGAGAGCAACCCCUCAACGUGCUAAUAGCACCCAGACCCAAUAUAAUUGAUCAAUGGACCAAGCUACCCCAGGGAUAACAGCGCAAUCUCCUCCGAGAGUCCGUAUCGACGAGGAGGUUUACGACCUCGAUGUUGGAUCAGGACAUCCUAGUGGUGCAGCCGCUACUAAGGUUCGUUUGUUCAACGAUUAACAGUCCU
rnacentral:rRNA from 1 species